rnacentral:rRNA from 1 species
AUGCUUCGACGUCCUCAUCGAUAUCCUGAUAUGCGGAAUCUUCGUCGCCCUGGUACAGUUGUUCGUUUCCGAUCUGUGGAGCAUGCUUGGUGUCGGCGUGCCUGCCAUGGGGAUUCUUUUUGCAAGACUCUAUUGCAACAUCAAUAUCAAUAUGAGUGUUUUUGGUCUUGGGAAAAAGGGGCUACACCACAAGAUGGACCUUGGGGGUGGGGUGGGAAGGAGGGGAUGUAUCCGGUGCACCCGCAUUUGUGA